AAACUGGGGCAGGCACCAACCUGCUCCUGAAAAGGGCAGGUAUUAUCUUUACAUUUUUUGUCAUAUACAUUUGUCCCUCCUUCCCCUCCACUAUUUAUUUCUCUUCUUUGUUUUCAGGAAGCUUUAUCACUUCAUUUCCAAAACUUUUAAUCUGUAACAUCAAAUACGAGAUCUGAUUGAUUAACAAGAGAUCAUCCGGAUGAGUGAGGUCAGCAGCAACCAAAAGAACACCAAUAAUGCCGCAACUAACACCGGUGAAGCCCCUCGUGAACGGGGAUUUGAGCGGCCUUCUCGGCCAAUGGCGCCGCCCAAGAGAGGAGCUAUAAAGAAGAAGAUUUGGGAGGAUUUUACUGGUAAACCCUCCUCUUCCAACCCUCCAACCGGUACUAAUUAGAGUUCCUCAUGAUAUUUGCCUUGAUUGCUGUACAUGUACAUAUGUUUCUCCUUUAAUUCGUUGGGGUUUGUGCGCUUCUCUUUUCUUGAAGUAACUGCCGUGAUCUCCAGCUUAGCUUAAUAGAGUUGCUGGGAUGAAGAACAGGAGCUUUUUUUUUUUGGUUUAAUCUGAGGAAUAAAUGGGGCCCGAGCUCAUAGUUAUCGUGUUCUAUAUAUAUGGGCUGAAUUCUUCUAAUGUGGCAGGGAUAUCCUUUAUAAUGUUGUUUAUUAACCGAGCAUGAAUUGAAUAUGUAUUAUAUUGCCAGUGGCCUUACGAUUUGGUUUCUUGGCCCCUGGUUAAGUACUUCAAUCCCUUGUUUUAAUCUUCUCUGUAUAAUUUGAAUUUGAUCUAAUGUCGCAUGUUUUAUUGAAGAUGAUCCACUAACUCCAAUUGAACAAUUUCGCGACUCUGCCACCCCCCUUUUAAUGUAAUUUCCAGCUGCCAUGCGAAUUCAAUCCUCAUCUUAUUUUCAUUUUUUAAGGUCCUUUUUCUGUUGUUGAAAGAACUCUUUGAUUUAUGAACAAUUAAGUUACUAUAUGUCUGCUUGUUAAUCAUGAAUGGCGUCAUAUAAAAAAAAGGGCACUUGAUGUUAUCUUGCUGUUUUAGCAUCAAGCAGUGUUUGGUAUAACAUGGGAG
rnacentral:lncRNA from 1 species